rnacentral:tRNA from 1 species
CGGGGCCGUGGCCCGGGGUGACGGUCGGGUUCCGGGCCGGACCGGGACCCGCGUUCGGUGACGCGCCCGCCUCGGCC